UACGUAGGGUGCGAGCGUUUGUCCGGAAUUAUUGGGCGUAAAGGGCUCGUAGGCGGUCUGUCGCGUCGGGAGUGAAAACUCAGGGCUUAACCCUGAGCCUGCUUCCGAUACGGGCAGACUAGAGGUAUGCAGGGGAGAAUGGAAUUCCUGGUGUAGCGGUGAAAUGCGCAGAUAUCAGGAGGAACACCGGUGGCGAAGGCGGUUCUCUGGGCAUUACCUGACGCUGAGGAGCGAAAGUGUGGGGAGCGAACAGG
rnacentral:rRNA from 1 species